UGAACAUCCAUCGGACACGUUCCGCAGCGGGCUCUCACGUUCCGCCCGUCAGGGCGAUGUGGUGCCUCAGAAUAUCCUGUGCAGAGUUUGCAACGACUCAACUCUUGGACCUCAACAGUCUGGGUUGGCCUGUCUGCAGGCUGCACACGUCUGGUGUCAGUGCUCUCUCUAUCCAGCCUGUUGUGCACCGACAAUAAACCUAACCU
rnacentral:misc_RNA from 1 species